rnacentral:rRNA from 1 species
GGUUAAGUGACUAAGCGUACACGGUGGAUGCCUUGGCAGUCAGAGGCGAUGAAGGACGUAGUAACUUGCGAUAAGCUCAGAUUAGGCAGUAACAGCCACUUGAGUCUGAGAUUUCCGAAUGGGGAAACCCAACUGCAUAAGCAGUUAUCAUUAACUGAAUACAUAGGUUAAUGAAGCGAACCGGGGGAACUGAAACAUCUAAGUACCCCGAGGAGAAGAAAUCAACCGAGAUUCCGAUAGUAGCGGCGAGCGAAAUUGGAUUAGCCCUUAAGCUUUACAUGCGUCA